CCGAUGUAGCUCAGUUGGUCUAGAGCAGCUGAUUUGUAAUCAGCAGGCCGUGGGUUCGAAUCCCUCCAUCGG
rnacentral:tRNA from 1 species